CCAUAAUCAUGACUCCUGAUAUAGCACCCAUCUAUGGAGGGCCUACUCCAUGCCAGACCUAGAGUCAGCCCUAAUCUGCAAAAUCAUCCAAAGCUCAGCGACCUCCAGCUUCAUCAGAUCUCCAGGGUCGCCCUUCCCGCCGUCCUCCAGUCUUCUCUCCGCUCGGACACUCUUUCACUGUCCGGGGAGCCUCGGCCUCUCCUAUGACCUCCGCCCGACCCCGCUGUCCCCUCCCGGACCUCGCCGACCCUUCACCAGCAGGAAUCUAUCCGUGUCAACUGGGAGUCCUGAAACAGAAAAUUUACAUCUGUCUUUAUCAGGGUUUUUAACUUCUCUUUUUUGAAGCAAGAAAUGAGGCAAACAACACAGGCAUUUCUUCCCUGCUCCAGUAAUUAUGCAGAAUGUUGUUCAGUUAUUCAGCCUCCCAACUGACUCAGCUGCCUCCUGAUACUAUCCUGAAGACUGUCCUGGAUGAAGCCACCCCAAUUAUCUGUACUCUCUUUUCACCAAUGUCACCUCCUUUCUCGGAGAGACAAUUGCUAAAACAGUACCAAGUUCACUGAUGCCAGUAAUCACAAAAGGAACCUUCAGCUAGCUUUGGCACUCUCCGUCUUUUACAUGGUCAAGGAAAGGGACAGAGCCUUUCCUCUGCACUUACGAUUCUGCCUUACUACCGAUGCUGUGGGAAUUACCCUUCUCGUGGAGGCAGCACCUGCCCCCACAGUGUAAUCUGAAGCUCCUCUGGGCUCCUCACUGUCUCUGCUGGAAAAGGUGCCAUCCAGGGUUUGUGCCUGCUUUCCCAAACCCCCGAGUCCCUGUGGCCCUGGCUAUCUCCAGCCUCCUCUGUCAUCACACACUCACCAAAAUACAUGUAAAUACAGUCGAUAUCAACACUCCUCCCAGAAGUUGUGUGUGUGUGUGGGGGUGUUCAUGGACAUUGUCUGUGGUGGGUUUGCUGGUCCCAGGCACUACACGGAGUGUUCAUGGAGAGAAAGUGCAUGGCACGGGUUGGGGACAUGGAAGCAGAGAGGCUGUUCCUAAUAUCUUGCCUGGAUGACAACUGGAGUAGAAUGGGGGAGCUGACAACAUAUCCUUGAUCCUUAAUCCUUUUCAUUAAGAAAUGGUCACUGAAGGAACUCCUCCUCACGUUGCUCCUUGGCUUGCAUCCCUAAAUCACAGCUUAGAAACAAGUGUGCCCAGAGCUGAAGACCAAGACACUCACAUGCCUUGUAUCCUAGAGACAAGUUUGUACACUGAGAAGCAAGGCAGAAGAAUCUGCUGGCCCUCUUUCUCCUCGGGCUGCCAGGCACUGUCGCUGCCCAUCUGUGAUGGGAAAAUAAUAGUCUGCGUUUCAGCCGAAUAAGCUGAUGGGAGGCCUAGUGUCUUGAAAGCCAUAUAAGCAAGCCCAUUUAGUGAGUGCUAUAGGCCAGAUAGGGUAGUAGACAUGGGGGUACAGAAGGGAGAAAGCCCAGUUUGUGUCCCCAGAGAG